rnacentral:rRNA from 1 species
UGACAGUGGAGAGUUUGAUCCUGGCUCAGGAUGAACGCUAGCGAUAGGCUUAACACAUGCAAGUCGAGGGGCAGCAUGAUCUUAGCUUGCUAAGGUUGAUGGCGACCGGCGCACGGGUGCGUAACGCGUAUGCAACUUGCCUUACAGAGGGGGAUAACCCGUUGAAAGACGGACUAAAACCGCAUACACUUGUAUUAUUGCAUGAUAUUACAAGGAAAUAUUUAUAGCUGUAAGAUAGGCAUGCGUCCCAUUAGCUUGUUGGUGAGGUAACGGCUCACCAAGGCGACGAUGGGUAGGGGAACUGAGAGGUUUAUCCCCCACACUGGUACUGAGACACGGACCAGACUCCUACGGGAGGCAGCAGUGAGGAAUAUUGGUCAAUGGGCGAGAGCCUGAACCAGCCAAGUCGCGUGAAGGAAGACAGUCCUAAGGAUUGUAAACUUCUUUUAUACGGGAAUAACGGGCGAUACGAGUAUUGCAUUGAAUGUACCGUAAGAAUAAGCAUCGGCUAACUCCGUGCCAGCAGCCGCGGUAAUACGGAGGAUGCGAGCGUUAUCCGGAUUUAUUGGGUUUAAAGGGUGCGUAGGUUGUUCGGUAAGUCAGCGGUGAAACCUGAGCGCUCAACGUUCAGCCUGCCGUUGAAACUGCCGGGCUUGAGUUCAGUGGCGGCAGGCGGAAUUCGUGGUGUAGCGGUGAAAUGCAUAGAUAUCACGAGGAACUCCGAUUGCGAAGGCAGCUUGCCAUACUGCGACUGACACUGAAGCACGAAGGCGUGGGUAUCAAACAGGAUUAGAUACCCUGGUAGUCCACGCAGUAAACGAUGAUUACUAGGAGUUUGCGAUAUACCGUCAAGCUUCCACAGCGAAAGCGUUAAGUAAUCCACCUGGGGAGUACGCCGGCAACGGUGAAACUCAAAGGAAUUGACGGGGGCCCGCACAAGCGGAGGAACAUGUGGUUUAAUUCGAUGAUACGCGAGGAACCUUACCCGGGAUUGAAAUGUAGAUGACGGAUGGUGAAAACCGUCUUCCCUUCGGGGCUUCUAUGUAGGUGCUGCAUGGUUGUCGUCAGCUCGUGCCGUGAGGUGUCGGCUUAAGUGCCAUAACGAGCGCAACCCACAUCGGUAGUUACUAACAGUUUUCGCUGAGGACUCUACCGAGACUGCCGUCGUAAGGCGUGAGGAAGGUGUGGAUGACGUCAAAUCAGCACGGCCCUUACAUCCGGGGCGACACACGUGUUACAAUGGGAGGGACAAAGGGCAGCUACCGGGCGACCGGAUGCGAAUCUCUAAACCCUUCCCCAGUUCGGAUCGGAGUCUGCAACUCGACUCCGUGAAGCUGGAUUCGCUAGUAAUCGCGCAUCAGCCAUGGCGCGGUGAAUACGUUCCCGGGCCUUGUACACACCGCCCGUCAAGCCAUGGGAGUCGGGGGUACCUGAAGGGCGUAACCGCAAGGGGCGCACUAGGGUAAUACCGGUGACUGGGGCUAAGUCGUAACAAGGUAGCCGUACCGGAAGGUGCGGCUGGAACACCUCCUUUCU